rnacentral:rRNA from 1 species
GUAGUCUCGCACAGAUGCAUAUCAAUAAGCGGAGGAAAAGAAACUAACAAGGAUUCCCUCAGUAACGGCGAGUGAAGCGGGAAGAGCUCAAAUUUGAAAUCUUGAAAGGUCACCUUUCACGAAUUGUAGUUUAAAGAAGUGUUUUCUGUUACGAUCGUAAUAUAAGUUCUUUGGAAUAGGACAUCACAGAGGGUGAGAAUCCCGUCUAUGAUUGCGAUUUGUAGCUUUGUGAUACACUUUCAAAGAGUCGGGUUGUUUGGGAAUGCAGCCCAAAACGGGAGGUAAAUUUCUUCUAAGGCUAAAUAUUGGCGAGAGACCGAUAGCGAACAAGUACCGUGAGGGAAAGAUGAAAAGAACUUUGAAAAGAGAGUUAAAUAGUACGUGAAAUUGUCAAAAGGGAAGCGUUUAACACCAGUGUUGUUUUCUGAAAAUCAACCUCUGUUAGCUUUAUGCAUGUUUGUUUAGACCUAAUCAGCUAUCUUGCAUGUUCUAUUGUUUGCAGUGGUGCACCUUUCAGUUUACAGGUCAACAUCAGUUUUUUUUACCGUAAAAAAGUUAAAGAAAGGUAGCUCAUGGCUCCGGUCGUGAGUGUUAUAGUCUUUUUCCUAUGCGGUAGGAGAGACUGAGGUCUGCAGUGUAGGCUAUUUGGCUAGAUACUCAGGUGCUAUGUGAUACCAUUUCAUAAACAACUUGUUGAUUAUGUUUUGUCUAUUGCAUACUCGCUUGUACUAUCAUACCUACGCUUAGGAUGUUGAGUCGUAGAGCACGCAG